CAGUAGCCGCGGGAAUACGGAGGGUGCAAGCGUUAAUCGGAAUUACUGGGCGUAAAGCGCACGCAGGCGGUCUGACAAGUCAGAUGUGAAAUCCCCGGGCUUAACCUGGGAACUGCAUUCGAAACUGUCAGGCUGGAGUCUUGUAGAGGGGGGUGGAAUUCCAGGUGUAGCGGUGAAAUGCGUAGAGAUCUGGAGGAAUACCGGUGGCGAAGGCGGCCCCCUGGACAAAGACUGACGCUCAGGUGCGAAAGCGUGGGGAGCAAACAGGAUUAGAUACCCGGGUAGUCCCUGUCUCUUAUAC
rnacentral:rRNA from 1 species